UAAGGAAUAUUGGGCAAUGGACGCAAGUCUGACCCAGCCAUGCCGCGUGCAGGAUGACGGCCCUAUGGGUUGUAAACUGCUUUUGUACGGGAAGAACCCCUUCGAUUCUUCGGAGGCUGACGGUACCGUACGAAUAAGCAUCGGCUAACUCCGUGCCAGCAGCCGCGGUAAUACGGAGGAUGCAAGCGCUAUCCGGAUUUAUUAGGUUUAAAGGGUGCGCAGGCGGAAUGGUAAGUCAGUGGUGAAAUCGCCCGGCUCAACCGGGGAACUGCCGUUGAUACUGGCGUGCUAGAGUACAGUUGGGGUGGGCAGAAUGUGUCAUGUAGCGGUGAAAUGCUUAGAUAUGACACAGAACACCGAUCGCGAAGGCAGCUCACCAAGUUGUGACUGACGCUCAUGCACGAAAGCGUGGGGA
rnacentral:rRNA from 1 species